GAAUUUUAUAUUAAAAUAUUUUGGGUUAGUUUAAUUUAAAUAUUUAGUAUUUAGUUGGGAGGAUUAUUAAAUUUAAAAAACUUUAAUAUUUAAUUACAUAGAUUAAUGAAUUAUAUAAAUAAAGAUUGAUUUUAAAAUGAAUAAAGAGUAAAUUACCUUAGGGAUAACAGCGUAAUAUUUUUAGAGAGAUCAUAUUAAUAAAAAUUAUUGC
rnacentral:rRNA from 1 species